AUACUCUGGUUUCUCUUCAGAUCGUAUAAAUCUUUCGCCUUUUACUAAAGAUUUCCUAAAAAUGUAAUAUCCAGAUUUCUCUUACAACUUUAGAUUUUUAUAGUGUCUUUCACAUAAAGAAUU
rnacentral:snRNA from 1 species